rnacentral:rRNA from 1 species
GGGGGGGGGGGGGGGGGGGCGGAGGGGGGGCGGGGGGGGCGCUGGAGGGGUGAGCUUGCUCUGCGUGGGUGGGUUGGGCGCGGGUGAGUCACGCGUCGGGCCCCUGCCGUGUAGCGGGGGAUCACGAUUGGAAGCGGUAGCUAAUACCGCAUACCAAUGGAUUCCCUAUGUCGUUUAUUUUAACGGGGCCACUGCUGCACUACAGCAUGGCCCUGCGUUGUAUUGGCUCGUAGGUGAGGUGACGGCUCACCUAGGCGACGAUACCUAGCCGAACUGAGAGGGGGAUCGGCCACACUGGGACGGAGACACGGCCCAGACUCCUACGGGAGGCAGCAGUAGGGAAGCGUCGGCAAUGGGGGCAACCCGGACCGAGCAAAGCCGCGUGAGUGAAGAAGGUUGUCGGAUCGUAAAGCUCUGUUGUAAGUCAAGAACGAGGGUGAGAGUGGAAAGUUCACACUGUGACGGUAGCUUACCAGAAAGGGACGGCUAACUACGUG